GAUUCAUUUCCUUGUUGUGGUUUCUAUCAUAUAUUUACAGUAAUUCUGCUAAUUCAUCUCAGAUUUUUAAUUGGAUUUGUGUUGCCUUCACAGAGGAGAUAAUGAUGGUCUCUCGGAUGGAGCUAUCGCAGGAAUCGUCAUCGGCUGCCUUUUAGCCCUAGCACUCGCCAUUGGCCUGUUCUUUUACUGCCGAGGGAAAGUACCAAUUGAGUCACCGUACUGACAUCCCCGCAUACUGCUUGGCCAAAACA
rnacentral:lncRNA from 1 species